UACGUAGGGUGCAAGCGUUGUCCGGAAUUAUUGGGCGUAAAGAGCUCGUAGGCGGUUUGUCGCGUCUGCUGUGAAAACUCGGGGCUUAACCCCGGGCCUGCAAUGGGUACGGGCAGACUAGAGUGCGGUAGGGGAGACUGGAAUUCCUGGUGUAGCGGUGAAAUGCGCAGAUAUCAGGAGGAACACCGGUGGCGAAGGCGGGUCUCUGGGCCGUAACUGACGCUGAGGAGCGAAAGCGUGGGAGCGAACAGG
rnacentral:rRNA from 1 species